rnacentral:lncRNA from 1 species
ACAGUUUACAGAUUAGUUUUAAAUCUGAGUCUAACAGAGACCAGAAUUCAAUCCAAAGUUUCUGGCCACAAGGUUAUUUUUAUAACCUUCUCUUCCUACCUGACAUGCUCAAUUGCAAGUGCUGUCUGGUCAAACACUCCAGAAUCAUCAAACACAACCCACAACUCCUGCAGGGGUAACUGGUAUUCCUUCAGUUCAAGGAGCUCUUUCAUACAUUCCAAGGUAAAUGUGUUCACUUCAGAUUCACAAACACAACCCACAACUCCUGCAGGGGUAACUGGUAUUCCUUCAGUUCAAGGAGCUCUUUCAUACAUUCCAAGGUAAAUGUGUUCACUUCAGAUUCACAAGCAUAUGGUUCAGCAAGUCUCACCACUGCCUUCAAGGCUGAAAAGUCCACAUCUGUUAUCUGAAAUUUAAAAUAAUGUGACUCCACUUAAUACACAGAAAUCAAAAUUAAGAAACAUAUAUAAAACACUACUGUAUAGCCUAAUUUUUCUUAAGCAUGAAAUGGGGGCAGGAAGCCUUUUUCCAUAAUAUAAAGG